AACGUGCCUUCUGGUCUGGAAUAACCCUGGGAAACUAGGGCUAAUACCGGAUACGCCCUUUUGGGGAAAGGUUUACUGCCGGAAGAUCGGCCCGCGUCUGAUUAGCUAGUUGGUGGGGUAACGGCCUACCAAGGCGACGAUCAGUAGCUGGUCUGAGAGGAUGAUCAGCCACACUGGGACUGAGACACGGCCCAGACUCCUACGGGAGGCAGCAGUGGGGAAUAUUGGACAAUGGGCGCAAGCCUGAUCCAGCCAUGCCGCGUGAGUGAUGAAGGCCUUAGGGUUGUAAGGCUCUUUUAUCCGGGACGAUAAUGACGGUACCGGAGGAAUAAGCCCCGGCUAACUUCGUGCCAGCAGCCGCGGUAAUACGAAGGGGGCUAGCGUUGCUCGGAAUCACUGGGCGUAAAGGGCGCGUAGGCGGCGUUUUAAGUCGGGGGUGAAAGCCUGUGGCU
rnacentral:rRNA from 1 species